rnacentral:rRNA from 1 species
CCUACGGGAGGCAGCAGUGAGGAAUAUUGGUCAAUGGCCGAGAGGCUGAACCAGCCAAGUCGCGUGAGGGAAGACGGCCCUACGGGUUGUAAACCUCUUUUGUCGGGGAGCAAAGCGAGUCACGUGUGACUCAUUGAGAGUACCCGAAGUAAAAGCAUCGGCGAACUCCGUGACAGCAGCCGCUGUAAUACUGCGGAUGCGAUCGGUAUCGGGUUUUUGUGGGUGUAAAGGGUGCGCAGGCGGAGGUGAAAGGCAGCGGGAAAAUUGCGGGGCUCAACCCCGUACUGCCGUUGAAACUGCACUCCUUGAGUGCGCGAGAAGCAUGCGGAAUGCGGGGUGUAGCGGUGAAAUGCAUAGAUAUAAGGAAGAACUCCGAUGGCGAAGGCAGCAUACCGGCGCGCAACUGACGCUCAUGCACGAAAGCGUGGGUAUCGAACAGGAUUAGAUACCCGUGUAGUC